CCAGUAACGGCGAGUGAAGCGGCAACAGCUCAAAUUUGAAAUCUGGCCUUCGGGUCCGAGUUGUAAUUUGGAGAGGAUGCUUCUGGCGCGGCGCCGUCCGAGUUCCUUGGAACAGGACGCCAUAGAGGGUGAGAGCCCCGUACGGGCGGACGCCUAGCCUUUGUGAAGCUCCUUCGACGAGUCGAGUAGUUUGGGAAUGCUGCUCAAAAUGGGAGGUAAAUUUCUUCUAAAGCUAAAUACCGGCCAGAGACCGAUAGCGCACAAGUAGAGUGAUCGAAAGAUGAAAAGCACUUUGAAAAGAGGGUUAAAAAGUACGUGAAAUUGUUGAAAGGGAAGCGCCUGUGACCAGACUUGCUGCCCGCGGAUCAUCCGGCGUUCUUCGCCGGUGCACUCCGCGGGCGGCAGGCCAGCAUCGGUUUUCCUGGGGGGUCAAAGGUCGCGGGAACGUGGCUCCUUCGGGAGUGUUAUAGCCCGCGGCGUCAUGCCUCUGGGGGGACCGAGGACCGCGCUUCGGCAAGGAUGCUGGCGUAAUGGUCACCGGCGACCCGUCUUGAAACACGGACCAAGGAGUCAAGCAUUGGGGCGAGUGUCUGGGUGCCAAACCCGCACGCGAAAUGAAAGUAAACGCAGGUGAGAGCUUCGGCGCAUCACCGACCGAUCCUGAUGUCUUCGGAUGGAUUUGAGUAAGAGCCUUACCGCUUG
rnacentral:rRNA from 1 species